rnacentral:lncRNA from 1 species
AUGCCCUUGCUGCACACAGAGAAGCUCCAGUGCAGCCGGCUGACAUGCCUUUUGUUUCUUUGUUUGCUUUGCUUUUUUCUUAAGACUCACAGCUUUAUAAAAUCUUUUGAAUUAUCAUAUAAACGCUUAAGGAGAUUAAAAAACUUGAAAAACAAAGGUGGGAGAGAGACUGGUGGAGACAGCUGGAGUCCUGGUGCCAAUAUGAUGAAGAGGAGAUGGUGGCAGCUGAUGAUGGCUGUUUCGUGUUUGUGGAAGAUGACAAAGGGAAGGAAAAGCAAAUCAUAAUAAGAGGAUUGGAUUGGAGUCCAUGCGUUGCCAGUGUGUUUCGAAUGUGGAUGAGCCACAGAACUGCAAGCCUUCACUUCUCUCAAGAAGCACUUGAAAAAAUGAGCAUAACCUACAUGGGAGAUGCUAAGGUACUGAAAAUUAGUUCUACUUCAGUGGAAAGGGCUAGUUUUCAUAAAUACAAAG